rnacentral:rRNA from 1 species
AAUGAACGCUGGCGGCGCGCCUAAUACAUGCAAGUCGAGCGAGAAGACGUAGCAAUACGUUUGUAAAGCGGCGAACGGGUGAGGAAUACAUGGGGUAACCUACCCUAGAGUGGGGAAGUAACUAGCCGAAAGGUUAGCUAAUACCGCGUACGCUCCUUGGACUUCGGUUUCAGGGAGGGAAAGACGAUGCCGAGGGUAGUCGCGCUCUUGGAUGGGCUCAUGUCCUAUCAGCUUGNGGUUGAGGUAACGGCUCACCAA